rnacentral:rRNA from 1 species
UACGUAGGGUGCAGGCGUUAAUCGGAAUUACUGGGCGUAAAGCGUGCGCAGGCGGUUUGUUAAGACAGGCGUGAAAUCCCCGGGCUCAACCUGGGAACUGCGCUUGUGACUGGCAGGCUAGAGUACGGCAGAGGGGGGUGGAAUUCCACGUGUAGCAGUGAAAUGCGUAGAGAUGUGGAGGAACACCAAUGGCGAAGGCAGCCCCCUGGGUCGAUACUGACGCUCAUGCACGAAAGCGUGGGUAGCAAACAGG